CGUAUUUCCCCUCGUGAUGUAGGUCGCCGCGACCCGUUGCUGGGGAAGUCAAAGGCCCGGGCGGACUGGUACCCAGACGUCGUGCGAUUCGGCGCCGGCGAAGGGGGAAACCUCCGGUGUCCUGGGUGCCCUGCGACGGUCGUGUAGCAGAGGGGCGCAUCCACGCCAAUUCUUCCUCUCGCGGCGUGCAAAAGGUCGGUGACCCACCCGACCCGUCUUGAAACACGGACCAAAGAGUAUAACAUGUGUAAGAGUCAUUKGGSKSMCWAWAMCCAAMGGCGCAAKGAAAGUGAAAGGGGGGUGUCCUGGGGUCCUCGUGGCUCCGGCGGCGCCCUCCGGGGCCRAUCCMUGACCGGCCGAYGCCGCUGUGGCUAUCCCAUACCAAAGCGGGGUCGAGGGGGUGCGCGGGGUGAGUCCCUUUCUCCCGUUGCUACCUCCGGCCUCGUGGGUGCCUGGCGCGCUYGACGGUCCGAGCUUGCUCGYUUGUACGCAGGGGGGCGCAGGCCCGGGACUUGCCAUUUGACGCCGUCGCGCGAAUCUGUUGUUGGCCUCAUCGGCUUUGCUUGGGCUCUCGUUUGGCGUGCCGCGUGUCUUUGGGCGGGCUKUGGGUGGGGGUUUCGGCUUCCUCCCGGGUUCRUCCGGCGCGGUUUCGCUUUACGAUCCUGCUCYGUUCGGAGUGGCMUMGCGAYGYGUKCUGUMGGCAAGUACCAWGAGCAGACAUGUUGGGACCCGAAAGAUGGUGAACUAUGCCUGGCCAGGAUGAAGCCAGAGGAAACUCUGGUGGAGGUC
rnacentral:rRNA from 1 species